CGAUGGAGCUUGCUCCAGGCGUCGAGCGGCGGACGGGUGAGUAAUGCAUAGGAAUCUGCCCGGUAGUGGGGGAUAACCUGGGGAAACCCAGGCUAAUACCGCAUACGUCCUACGGGAGAAAGCAGGGGAUCUUCGGACCUUGCGCUAUCGGAUGAGCCUAUGUCGGAUUAGCUAGUUGGUGAGGUAAUGGCCCACCAAGGCGACGAUCCGUAGCUGGUCUGAGAGGAUGAUCAGCCACAUCGGGACUGAGACACGGCCCGAACUCCUACGGGAGGCAGCAGUGGGGAAUAUUGGACAAUGGGCGCAAGCCUGAUCCAGCCAUGCCGCGUGUGUGAAGAAGGCUUUCGGGUUGUAAAGCACUUUCAGUGGGGAAGAAAUCCUCGGGGCCAAUACCCUCGAGGGAGGACAUCACCCACAGAAGAAGCACCGGCUAACUCCGUGCCAGCAGCCGCGGUAAUACGGAGGGUGCGAGCGUUAAUCGGAAUUACUGGGCGUAAAGCGCGCGUAGGCGGCGUGAUAAGCCGGUUGUGAAAGCCCCGGGCUCAACCUGGGAACGGCAUCCGGAACUGUCAGGCUAGAGUGCAGGAGAGGAAGGUAGAAUUCCCGGUGUAGCGGUGAAAUGCGUAGAGAUCGGGAGGAAUACCAGUGGCGAAGGCGGCCUUCUGGACUGACACUGACGCUGAGGUGCGAAAGCGUGGGUAGCAAACAGGAUUAGAUACCCUGGUAGUCCACGCCGUAAACGAUGUCGACUAGCCGUUGGGGUCCUUGUGACCUUUGUGGCGCAGUUAACGCGAUAAGUCGACCGCCUGGGGAGUACGGCCGCAAGGUUAAAACUCAAAUGAAUUGACGGGGGCCCGCACAAGCGGUGGAGCAUGUGGUUUAAUUCGAUGCAACGCGAAGAACCUUACCUACUCUUGACAUCGUGCGAACUUUCCAGAGAUGGAUUGGUGCCUUCGGGAACGCACAGACAGGUGCUGCAUGGCCGUCGUCAGCUC
rnacentral:rRNA from 1 species